ACACCUCAACUCUCAUGGUUUGCCGUGAUGAGCUUGGACGUUGGGGGUCUUGCUGGCCUGCGGUCGGCUCCUCUCAAACGAAUCAGCUUCCCAGUGUUUGGCGGCGUCACAGGUGUGAUAACUAUCUACGCUUGUGGUGUUCUGCUGGUAACCUUCAGCGAUGGAGGUUCGCUGGAGCUCACAAAUGUCUCUCCUCGGUGAGGACGGCCUUUGAAC
rnacentral:misc_RNA from 2 species